rnacentral:rRNA from 1 species
AACGAACGCUGGCGGCGUGUCUUAAGCAUGCAAGUCGAGCGGCAAGGGUAGCAAUACCCCUAGAGCGGCGGACUGGUGAGUAACACGUGGGUGAUCUACCUCGGGGUUGGGGAUAGCCAUUAGAAAUAGUGGGUAAUACCGAAUACGAUCCGUUGACUACGGUCAGCGGAGGAAAGGCGCUACGGCGCCGCCCUGAGAUGAGCCCGCGCCCCAUUAGCUAGUUGGUGGGGUAAUGGCCUACCAAGGCGAUGAUGAGUAGCCGGCCUGAGAGGGUGUACGGCCACACUGGGACUGAGAUACGGCCCAGACUCCUACGGGUGGCAG